CGAUUGGCUAGCAGCCUGGCUGCGACGCACUUCUAGCCAAUCCUAGCACGGUGGGGGCGUGGUCUGUCGGAAUUCGGGUGGGGAGAAAGUAACAUAGGCAUAACGGCACUGUGAGUGACCGUUGAAGAAGAUUCGGCAGAGAGAGCGCGGCGAAAAACAGGUUCACGACAAAACCAGUAAAAGGAGAUGAAAACAUUGUGAAAGGACUUUUUCAGCGUGGAAAAUUGUGGAAAAUGUCCUCGGCUCCGGUACAGCAGCCCUCAGAGUCGGCGGAGUUCUCGGUGGAGGCGGUGGAGCGGGCCCUGCAGCAGCUGUACUAUGAUCCAGACAUGGCCCAAAAAAACGUGGCCCAGGAGUGGCUGACCCAGGCCCAGGCCUCGCCGCAAGCCUGGCACUUCUGCUGGGCUCUGCUCAGCCCAGAUAAGGUUCCUGAGAUCCAGUUUUUUGGGGCCAGUACACUGCACACUAAAAUCUCCCGCCACUGGACGGAUCUCCCAGCUGAGCAGCAUGAAUCUCUGCGCUCUCAGCUCAUCGCUCAGGUAGGCCAUUUCUCCUGCGGGCCGAAGAUGGUUCUGACACGGCUCUGCGUGGCCCUGGCAUCCCUGAUCCUCCACACUCUGCUGGACAGCUGGACCACCGCUGUCCCGGACCUCCUGAGGGCAUUCCAGGGCGGUGAGGGGUCAGCAGAGGUGGACAUCCGGUACCAGGCACUGCUGGAGGUUCUAGUGGUUCUGCCCGAGGAGCUCCAGACGAGGAAGCUGUCGGCAGAGCGUCGAGCUCAGCUACAAAGUGCGUUAACCAGAGAGUGGAGCUCAUUGUGCCCCCUACUGCGGCAGAUACUGCGGAGAGAGGAAGCAGCAGGACCGGUGAAGGAGCGUGUGCUGCGCUGCCUCGUGUCGUGGCUGGCUCUGGACGUGGAUCUGGGUGAAAGCGAAGGUCUCCUGCAGGACAGCUUCACUCUGCUGAGGGAGCCCGAGCUUUUUGACACGGCUGUGGAGACCAUCGUGAGCACCAUCUCACAACACGACAGCCAGAGGUUUGCUGACAGUCUGCUGAAGAUGCUGCCCCAGGUGCUGGCCCUUCAGGAGCAGCUGACGAAGGCCGUGCAGGACAGAGACAUGGAGACGUCUCACGGAAUCUGUCGCAUCGCUGUGGCGCUCGGGGAGACUCACUGCAGGGCUCUUCUGGAGCAGGUAGACCACUGGCAAGGAUUCCAGGCUUUAGUCAACAUGAUUCUCUCCUGCACUGGGAUGCCUGGACAUUACCCAGUGGACGAAACCUCCAGCUCACUCACGCUCACAUUCUGGUACACGCUACAGGACGACAUCAUGUCUCUCGACACAGAGAAGCAAACGCUGUACCUGCAGGUUUACAGACCACUUUACUUCCAGCUGGUGGAGGUGCUGCUGCAUAAGGCUCGCUUCCCCAGUGACCCGGAUUUUGCCCUGUGGUCCGCUGACGACAAGGAGCAGUUCAGGAUCUACAGGGUUGACAUCUCCGACACGCUGAUGUACGUGUAUGAGCUGCUGGGCCCAGAGCUGCUGCGCAACCUUUACGAUAAACUCGGCGUGAUGCUCACAGACAAAACUCACCCGUCCUCGUGGCAGGAUAUAGAGGCUCUCCUGUUUGGCUUCCAGUCCAUUGCUGAAACAGUGGACAUCAGUUACUCUGAUGUGAUUCCUGGUCUGCUCGGACUGAUCCCCCUCAUCACCGCCGACAGCAUCCACCUGGCAGAGACCAUCAUGUUGACUAUAGGCUCCCUGGCGGAGUGGUUGGCUGAUCACCCUCUCAUGCUGCCUGGCGUCCUGCGUCUGGUGCUCCAGACUCUGUCCAACGCUGACCUCUCCGUAGCCACCGUCUCCACCCUGAAGAGGAUCUGUCGUGAGUGCCGCCACAGCCUGAGGCCCCACGCGAACGACAUCCUGACCGCUUUGCAGGAGGUGCUGGUUAAACAGAUUCAUAAGAGCACUCAGAGUAUGUGGCUGAUGCAGGCUCUGGGUUAUCUGCUGUCGUCUCUGCCUGAUGAAGAGGUUCUGGGGAAACUCCUCUCUCUGCUCUCUCCACACAUCCAGCAGCUGGAGAGACUGGCCAAUGAGAUGCCCAGUCCAGCUAGUAAACUCUCCACUGUGCACAUUCUGGGCCUCCUUUCCAGCCUCUUCUCUACUUUAGACCUGAACGCUCAAGGAGAAGGACAGGAGGACGUCAGAGCUGCCCGCUCUCAGCCUCGCACCAACCCGGUUGUAGUCGUGCUACAGCAAGUUUUCCCUCUCAUCCAGAACCUGCUAAGUAAGUGGGUGAAGGAGGCCGAGGUGGUGAAGGCUGCUUGUGCUGUUUUUGAGAAAUCCCUGAAGACCCUUAUUCGUGAUUUUGCCCCUCUGGUGUCUCAACUCUGUGAGCUGAUUGGCCAGUUGUUCAGUGCUUACCCCCAAGCCUGUGCUUUGGACCUCACAGGACAGCUGGUUCAUGUAUUUGCCUGUGAGAAGGAACAUUUCCCACCAAUCACUGCUCUGCUGGAACUCGUCACGAGCAUCACCAUGUCCAUGUUUCAGCACGGCGCCCGAGAUCAUCCUGACGUGGCCGAUUCAUUCAUGCAGCUUCAUACUCAGGUUCUGAAGAGGAAAGCAGACGUGUAUCUUUCAGAGGGUCUCGACGUCAAAGUUGUUUUCUACUGUGGUGGGCAUUUAGGGAUUCUAUCAUUCAAAUUCCCAGAGACGCCCACUGUGAAGGCCACAUGCUCAUUAUUCACGGAGCUGAUCUCUCACUGCGAGGACGUCCCGGCGGUGAGGGAGGUGCUGCAAGAGGAUGGACUGCUGCUGCUUCAGACCCUGCUGGAGGCUGUCAGUGGUCAGUCCUGUAGCCUGCUGGAGCUCCUGUCUGAGGUGUUCUUCUCCAUGAGCCGUCACUGCCCCAGCCUGCUCUCGCUCCAGCUCAGAGACGCCCUGCAGCCCCCGGGGUUCCCCAGCGCGCUCCUCACCCCGGAGCAGAAAGAACACUUCUGCCAGCAGAUCCUCAGGGAACAGGUGAGUAAGUGGAAGGUGAGGGACGUGGUGAAGGACUUCUCUCUGCUGUGUCGAGGCCUGCAGUGAGCCGCGAGCUGCUGAACAGUCGGUGUCCUUCACAAAAGACCCGCCGGGUGAAGGGGCUCGACCUGCACUGCUCUGAAUGUGAUGAAAUGCAGUCAGUAAUGAUUGUUAUAAGACGCAUAAAAGAAACAGGACAAAGCAACACAGUCAUUCAGUAAUCGAACCCUUUUGAGAUGAUUCUCAUAAACUACUGACAGCAUCACUGCAGUAGUGUGUUUAUUUCAUACGGUUAUCUGUCAGAUAACAUGAUCUUAUUUUCAUAUGCACAUAUAAAAUACUGAAAAUAUCAGAAGGGGUUGUUGUGCAACAGCCUCAUGAGUGUAGACCAUCACAACAGGCAUGUAGUUCAGACCGUUUCUCUCAGCUUAUCUUGCAGAACACCGUCCGUUUGGUCGUCCACAUCAUACAGUAACAGAGACAGAAGACACAGACAUAAAACCGGGGGCUCACUGGUGGGGGGGGGUGUUUAAUGAGGGGAGGACGCUGCUUUAGGAGGUGUGGGGAGACAUCAUCAUCCUCAGUAGAAAA